GACGAACGCUGGCGGCGUGCCUAAUACAUGCAAGUAGAACGCUGAAGGAGGAGCUUGCUUCUCUGGAUGAGUUGCGAACGGGUGAGUAACGCGUAGGUAACCUGCCUGGUAGCGGGGGAUAACUAUUGGAAACGAUAGCUAAUACCGCAUAAUAGUAGAUGUUGCAUGACAUUUACUUAAAAGGUGCAAUUGCAUCACUACCAGAUGGACCUGCGUUGUAUUAGCUAGUUGGUGGGGUAACGGCUCACCAAGGAGACGAUACAUAGCUGACCUGAGAGGGUGAUUGGACACACUGGGACGGAGACACGGCCCAGACUCCUACGGGAGGGAGCAGUAGGGAAUCUUCGGCAAUGGACGAAAGUAUGACCGAGCAACGCCGCGUGAGUGAAGAAGGUUUUCGGAUCGUAAAGCUCUGUUGUAAGAGAAGAAAGAGUGUGAGAGUGGAAAGUUCACACUGUGACGGUAGCUUAACAGAAAGGGACGGCUAACUACGUG
rnacentral:rRNA from 1 species